CACACCUCCGCGGGCCGGCCUGUCACGCGCUCGCUUCUCCGCCCGCUGGGCUGCUGCUGUCGCCGAGCGCGCACGAGGAGGGCCGGGGAGCUGCGGUCACGUGGGCGGGUCUCGCGCGCCUGCGGAGCCCAACUUUCUGUUUUCCUUUAUCUGCUCCCACUUUUGCGCGGAAGCCCUCGUUCUCCGAGCCCCGGAGGCCGGACGCCAGAUCUGCCUUUGGCUCCGUUUCUGCCCGACCGCUGCCACCACCCUUUCUCCUAGGUAGCGCACCCGCCGUCUGCUGUCACUCCCUCCUGCCUCACGUCGAGGCCAGUGGCUGCGAGAUCAUUCCAGCAGCCGGCACGAGCCUUGGAAGGUGUUUAGUGCCUUUUCUUCAGGUGACUCCCUGCCUCCCGAAGACUGGAAGGAUAACUAGAUGUGUCGAUCGCCGUCUUCCCACCUCUUUCUGGCAUUUUCUGAGCCCUGCAAAGGGCCUUGGUUUGAGGAGAAAGAACUGGAAUUGACGUCUGUCUGAGAUGUGGUAGGAAAGGUUGUUAAUGUCCCCUUUAAUGUGGAUUCCCACCCACGUUACGACCUCGGCAGUGCUUUGGCUCUCUGAAAUUAGAGAAUGAGGAGGAGGGUGAGGUCAUGGUAAAAAUCCCCCUGCACCGGACACUGCGAUGCAGUUUCUUCCCAACAAGGAAGCAGAUAAGCAAACAGAUUGAGAACUGCAGCAGGCAAAUUUUAGGUUUCCUGCCAGACUACAGAGGAUAUGACCAGCAAGAGACUUUUUUCUGUCCUCACGACAGAUUAAGGCCAGGACACCUGAAAGGGCUGCCAGGAGACAAGCGACAAGUGACAGCUGGGUUGGCAAAGUGACUGUAACAAGGACCCAGAAGCCGACUUUUUCAUUCUUGGUAUUGAGCUUCAAGUGGAAAAGCCAAAAGUGGUUUGGAUUGUCUACUUUUGGCAGUGCAACACAAUGCUCCUUGGUUUGGGCUUCAGAAACUUCCUGUGUUAGGGAGUUGGGGUAAAAGGUCAACACUCUGAGAGGCUUGUGAACAAGUUUAAAAAUCAGUGCUAAUCAGUCUGAGUUGGGUUAGUGACUGAGAAGCCUCAUGACUCAAUUCUUCAGUUGCAGUAAACAAUGCCUAUAGUUGGAUUAUCUCUUGCUGGACUGGCCAGGCCCAUGGGGUGGACAUUCUACAAUCUACAAAGUGAGCCUCCGAAAAAGAUCCAUGAGCUUCUGAUGACCAGUGGAGACGUCAGCUCAUCAGAAGUCAGAAGCCAGUAUUGUCUCAAAGACAUGCACCAGCACCCAUGGAAACAGCAGCACUUUGCUGGCUACAUCAGAACCCUUUAUGGGCAAUCUGCGUCUGUCUGAGACUCUUUCUGAGAAACUUGAAAGGUCUUGCUCACUCCCUCUCCUUUAUUUUGCCUUGCUACUUUUUAAAAGGAGGGAUGCUUUUGCUAUUUUCUUGCCUGUAAAUGUUCUUGGGCAGAAAUAAGUGAGGAUUCUUGCACACGUUCUGUUUCUCCAGAGAAGAUCAGGUCUGCAGUCUCAAUUCAUUCCUGGUAGCAGCAGCCUUCUUUCCCUGGGAACUCUGGGUUAGCAGGCUUGGACCUGCUGCUUCCAGCAACCACACUCCGACUGGCUGGCUGGCUGGUCUACAGGUAGCCUCACAUGUCACGGCCUGCAGAGUUGGAGUUGACCUCAGAGCAAAAUGCCAGGAAGUGUCAGCUGUUGAAUUUAUCGAGCAGUAAGAGCUCACCCAGCGGCGCCGAGAAAUAGUUCAUGUGACCUUUUUCCAGACUACUGCAGACUGGCUCCCAGAACAAAUCAUGUCAUCAAUUAGUCUUUCUCCAAAUUCCUAUAUCAGCUGCUAAGGAAGAAAAACAGCAAGCUCAUAGGAGGAUUCAGGGGACAGGAGCAACUGCUGAGUCAGAACCACAGCACAGCAUCGGGCGGCUUCCAAGAGGAGGCAUCAGAAGUCCUCCUUCUGCUCCAGUUAUUAGCCUUCUCUUGACAUCCCCCAACAGGGAGAGGUGGGGAGCACAUAAAAGCCAGGGGAAGUGGCUCCGUGAUUGUGAUUGCUUCAGCUGCAGUAGGAAGAGCUCCUUAAGUAGCGAGGUAACCCACUAUCCUGUCCAAACCCACCUGACUCAUCGCAGACUGUGUUCACUGUUCAUUUUGUUUUCCAGAGAAGGAAUGCAGCCCCGUGGGGGAGAAGGAACCUGGGUGAGAACUCAGUUAACAGACCCACCUUUGCCUUUCUCAUCUGUAAAAUGGAAGUAGUUAUAUCUAGAAUCCUCCGGAAGAUUAAAUUGUAGGACAAGUGCACUCAGCGUCUGUCCACAGAUGGAAGGCUUGACUGAGGAACAAGCGAGCCGCUUGGAGGCUUAGUAGUAAUGUCAUUGUCAGAAUGUCUCCCUUUAUCUUUCCUAAAUCUGCGGGUUAAGCCUCUGGCUCAGGUUCACUCAUGGCUGCCAAUGUAUCCCCCGACAGGAUCUGUUUCUGGUUUCAAAGUUCUGAUCACAAUAAGAAAGACAUGCAUAUGAAAGGUUUCCCCCAAAUCUUAACUCUGAAGAGGGGCAGGGUUUAUUAAUAUCCACCAGGAAUCUCAGGAGUCACCUCAUCAACCAGAAAGCAGAGGUUCAAGUGGAGAUGUUGGCACUAUACAUUAAGCACAUGGGCUGUGGCCAGGCAUGGUGGCGUACAGCUGUAAUCUCAGUGGCUUGAGAAGGUGAGGCAGGAGGAUCGCAAGUUCAAAGCCAGCCUCAGCAACUUGGUGAGGCCCUAAGCAACUCGGCGAGACCCUGUCUCUAAAUAAAAUAUAAGAAGGGGCUGAGGAUGUGGUUUAGUGCCCCUUGGUUCAAUCCCUGGUACCAAAAAACAAAAAACAUGAGCUUUUGUUUUCUAAUCUUCAAAAUCAGCACAGUAACCUCAGAGUGUUUCCAUCAGGGCUAUGUGAGAUGGCGGAGCAGCCUCUAAUCAGUUCCCUCUAUCAGAAUGCUUACUUGUCCAAUUGAUGAACUGUCAUCUAUCAUCAAGCCCGGGGGUAAUGGAAGGGGUGACUCCUGGGCAUGGCUGUUCAUAUUUUAUGUAGACCACUCCCCCACUCUCCGUGUGCAUGCAGACACCACUGGACAGCUGUCAGGCCUAGUGAUGGACACUUCAAUAGUACAGACCCCUUCAGGACAGACCACACCCAGAGAAGUAGGCUUGGCCUGCUUGAAUAAGCAACUUUGGGGUCCUGGAACCUACAGUUCAGUCUGGGAGGACACCCAGUAAAGCAGUCAGGCAGGGGCUUCUCUUGCCUGGGGUACUGGCUAGAGUAUGCAGUGAGAUAACAUCUAAAUCACCCCCUUUCACAAGGGCCAAAAUAGAUCUCCAAAACUUCCAAAUCCCCAGGAUCUUGAAGUGGAUCCUAAUGGGGACACUUCGUACAGCUGAAACACUCCAUUAAGUCAUUCACUAGCCAGUCCUUGGUCCAGGACUGUUGGGCUCCUCCCAAAGGAGCCUGCUUAAGGCUCUGGUUGUCUCUGUUCUUCCCAAAGCCAUUCAGGGCAGGAAGCCAAAAAGCACUAUGGAAAAGCAGAUGUAUAAUGUUUUGAACUAAGUAAGCCUCCGUUACCCCAUCAUCCUGGGUUUCUGCAAAGUGAGGAAGUGCCUUUCAGGAGGAGGUAACCUCAUCCCUUCCACGGGCUGGCCACAGGCAGGGCCUGAUUCCCCUAAGACUUUCCUCCUUAUAUAAGCCAAGUAUGUGUUCAGAAAUGUUGAGAGGUGGUGGGGUAUGGCUUCCUGGUACAGCACUCACCUAUCGUGCUUGAAGCCCUGGGUUUAAUUCCUGGCACCAGCCACCCCACCACCACCAAAAAAAAAAGCUGGGGGAGGGGCUCUCGUUUAAAAAAAAUAACAACUACUGCCCUAGGUGGUUUGCUCUCUUAGAAUUGAACCAAUCACUGAGACUCUUAGUAAAUAUGUUACAAUUAAGGAAUUGGGAAUUGGGGAUGCUGUUUAACUCUUAGUUGGACAGUCAGGCAUUGCAAUAGGCUCACCAGGGGAAGUACAGUGAUUUCUAAAGUCUAAAACUACAUGCCUAUAAUUUAGGUCUUGUUUCCAGAAAAAUUUACCCCUCUCUUCCCUAUUGUUAAUUAUUUCAUCUUUUCCUGAAGUGGGGGAACAAUAAUAGCUGUGAGUACUUUAUCAAUAGGAAGGAACUGCCUACCAUCCUAGCAAUUUGGGAGGUUGAGGCAGGAGGACUACAAGUCCAAGGCCAGGCUCAGCGAUUUAGUGAGACACUCAGCAACCUUGUGAGACCAUGGCUCAAUAAAAUAAAAAAGGCCUGUGGAUGCUGCUCAGUGGUAAAGCACCCCUGGGUUCAAUCCCCAGCACCAAAAUAAAAUAAAAUUAAAAAGUUAGAAACUAUGAGAUUUUCUGAGAAGCUUUCCCCCACGUCCAGCAUCGCCUUCUCACGGAGUAACAGCAUUUCGUUAGGGAGAUGUUGCUAUUGACAAAUUGCUGUUGUAGUUAAUCGUUGCCCAUUUUAGUAACUCUCAGCCAUUCAUCUAAGAUGGCCAGCAGUGUUAAAACAAACAACAAACGGAAGUUCUCCCUACUUGACUCCCAGUCCACCUGUCUCCCCUCCUUCCUAUCCCUUGCUUUUUGGGUCUCCUACCCUUGGCUGGUCAAGGUUCCUGGCCUCAGGUUCUAUGGUAUCCUUGCUUCCUUGUACCAUGGCACUUGUCACACUUGAUUGCAACAGUCCCCUCCCUUGCCUACCAUGCCAAAAUGUGCCUCCUUCAAGGCAAGGGACAUGCUUAACUUACUCUGUAUCUUUAGCAUUUAAUGUGACAUAUAAUAAAGGCUUGAUAAGUGAACAUAAUUUCAA